GCUUGGCGUCGUCGGGGUAGUUCGUGGCGGAGUCGGGGUUCGAACCCAGGUGGGCUUGACGCAGGCGGCGGUGUCGUUGUCAAGAGCUGCACGGACGCUUUCUGUGACGUGUCGGAAAGAACGGAGUCGAACUUGUUAGAUUGCACGGAGAAAGGGGCAGGAAGGAAGGGGCCCAGGGUGGGACUGUCUCGGCUCACGCAGGUGAAGUUCCUCGGGUGUCAGCUCAGCAGGUGCUUCUCGAAUCAGCAGAAUAAAAUCCCCUCGUCGCUCACCGGGAAAAAUCAAACAAGCAGGACAAGUGCUGGACAGCCGGAGUCAGUCCCCAUGGAGAUUAUCUCUGAUAACAGAUUUCUUCUGGGGAAUAGCAGAGUUUGUGGUUUUGUUUUUCAAAACUUUGCUUCAGCAAGAUGUGAAAAAAAGAAGAGGCUACGGAAGUUCGUCCGACUCCAGAUACGAUGAUGGAAGAGGGCCGCCAGGAAACCCUCCACGCAGAAUGGGCCGGAUCAAUCAUCUGCGCGGUCCCAGUCCUCCCCCCAUGGGCGGUGGAUGAGGAAGGUAAACGUCUGCUCUAAGAAGCAGACGACUGGGUGUGCACAUCCACGGCAGAAGGAGACCAUCUGGAGACGGAGCUGGCCGAGCCGGCAGCCUGGAUGGAUGUGUGCACCCCCACCCGAACCGCCCUGUGACCUCACAGACCAAUGACGUCAGGCUGGGAACUCCCCCUCCAGGGAUCUAGCCUGGCUGAGCUGCGGUUCCAUAAACUCUGUUUGUCUCAUCUUUUUGUAUAGUUUAUUAAAGUCUUACUAUAGUUUUAAUAAGUGAAUAUUUUUAGGUUGGAAGACUGACUCCUCAUCUUUAUAUAUUUAAAACACACACACACACACACACACACACACCACCACCACCUCAGAACCUGAACAGAAAAGGCUGAGUCCUAGUGCUGUCAGUGUCCCCUUUUUGGAUGUCUGAAAUACUGCUCAUUGUUAAGUUAUUUUCAUUUGUAAAUAAAUUGCAUUUAUUCAGUAGUA